rnacentral:rRNA from 1 species
AGCGAACGCUGGCGGCAGGCUUAACACAUGCAAGUCGAGCGGGCCCUUCGGGGUCAGCGGCAGACGGGUGAGUAACACGUGGGAACGUACCCUUCGGUUCGGAAUAACUCAGGGAAACUUGAGCUAAUACCGGGAUACGCCCUUUGGGGGAAGGGUUACUGCCGAAGGAUCGGCCCGCCGUCUGAUUAGCUAGUUGGUGGGGUAAUGGCCCACCAAGGCGACGAUCAGUAGCUGGUCUGAGAGGANGAUCAGCCACACUGGGACUGAGACACGGCCCAGACUCCUACGGGGAGGCAGCAGUGGGGGAAUAUUGGACAAUGGGCGGCAAGCCUGAUCCAGCCAUGCCGCGUGAGUGAUG